UUCUUCCCCUCUUCGAUCCGGCAAUAUCAUCUCUCCACGGCAGGCGACGGACCUCGAAGUGCCGCACGAAGGGUUGCUGGCCCAGAGAAGCGACUUGGUGUGGAGAUGCCGUGAAAAACUUAGUUUAUUUAGUUAGAUCUAUGCAUUUUUUUUAGAUUUGAGAAUGAAAGACAAAGAUCCAAACAACAUGGAGGAGCUUCAUUAUUCUACGUGAUUGGCUCGUCGAGGAACCCAAAGAGGUGUGACAGUAAGGUUUUUGCGAGCGCGAACUUUAUGGCCGCAUCAAGGCUCCCUGUAAGCGCAAGUUCGCCAACAUCGAGGCUCCAUGAGAGCACGGAGGUGCGUCGUGUGUACCACCCUUGUUGCAAAAACAAUCCGUAAUAAAAUAUUAAAAAAUGUCAAAAUUUAAAAUUAUAAUAAUCUAAAAAUAUCUG
rnacentral:lncRNA from 1 species